rnacentral:lncRNA from 1 species
GUGAAUGGUCGUCUCGUUAUUGGUUUAUAUCGGGUUCGCUCUUCUGCUUAUGGUCUGCCCGUUAACCCGUGUCGCUGCCUGUUUUUCCUCUUGACUUUGAAAUCUCCUGUUCGCUCUGUAGCUGUUUCAUCAGACGUUCAAACAGAGAUUUCGAGAGCAGGGGAGAGAGAGAGACGGCGAUUAUUUCCAUUCACAGCUCUCCUUCUCUUGUUGCUUCAGGUGUUCGGUUGUUGUUGUUCGCCCGCUGGUGGUUAGAAGUGCUCCUCCAACUGGUUUGCAUCUGUUCUCUCUCCCCUCCAUUCAUUGUUCUUUAUCUAGAUCUCCGCCGACGCGAUUCGUGGAUUUUGUGAGCUCUCACUCGUCCAAUCCUAGGUUGUUCAUGUUUUUGCUUAAUUUGCAGCUCUUCAAAUCCACUGGAAGGAUCCCUUGCUUGAAGUUUAGAUUGCUGCGGUCGGCUAGCUGCUGGUUGGAAUUUUCUCUUCCCAACGGCCUGUUGUUGUUCUUCAUCAAUUACUCUAUUUUCUAGAUCUGCGAGAUAUGGUCCUACAAUUCUGUGAGCCCGAUGAUGGCUGUGCUCUGUUGAAUCUGUGAGCUAUGGUCCUCGAAUUCUAGGUUGUUCAUCUACGUUGUGUUGCGUUUUGCUGUUCCCAUCCUUGUGUUUGGGUCAGGCUUUGUGCUUGUGCAUGUGUAAUGUUGGGGCAAUUCUAGAGUAUUGUCUAUAAUAUCUGUCUUUGAAGAGUUUGAUUUAACUUUAUAAGGUUAUUAUUAGUUCUUAUAUUUUACUUCCCAUAUUGAAUCUUUUAGUGGUUGUUCCGUAAUUUUUUCUGUUAUUUUGCUGUAAAUUGAGUGAGUUGUCUCUGCAGGUUAUGUUUAGGUUAAUUUCCACAACAUUUAAAAGUUAUUUUGUUGUACCUCAUGAAUGAAUUGCAGUCUGAGAGUAGCUCUUAAUCCUUGAUAAAUUAGGUGGUUACUUAGUGUUACUUUGUUUUAUGAGUAGAGGUGGUUAUUGCUUGCAUUACCUCUGCAUGCUCUAGUUGGUCGUUUAACUAUUUUUCUUGCAUUAAGCAUAAUUACACUGUCACAUUAUUAUAUUUCUCCAGCAAAGGCUAUUGUAGUUUUCAAUAUCCCACCAAGUUUUAACUGUUUUUUGUUACAGUGCAUUUCUGUAUUAUGUAGCUCAUCGGUGUACUAUGUAGUAAUAUGUUCUCAGCUGAUACUUUUUAUUUACAGUAGCUAUUCAUUUUGUGAGCAAUACUCACAGUUGCUACUGUGUUCUCGUGGAUAGCUAGACACUUACAGGUUGUUGGCUAGCUGUUCAAUUCGGACAUGGAAGGAAAAGCUUCAGGGGUGUUAGGUGUGAGCUUUUUGGUGGCUCUCGCUCGCCUUUGUAGCUCUGAAAUAAGAAGAUGACUGAUAUGAGCCUGUGUCUACAUGCCCAGACCUUGCUAAUAGGUGUGUGAAGUGUGGCUUGCAUCCACCUGAACGCUUGCUUGUGUGGAUUGAUGUGUGUUUGCAAUGGGUUUGGAAACACUAGUAGUAGUAAUUAAGAAGCAGCCUUUAUCUAUGUGGCUGCUGUGUAAAUGUGAUCCUCUCCUCUUACGAGUGUUUGGCAUGUACUCCCUCGGUCCGGAAAAGUUUGUCCCAAGCUUGUCUUUCAAAUGGAUGUAUCCAGCACUAACUUGAUGCUAGAUACAUCCUUUUAAGGGACAAGCUUUUUCGGACGGAGGGAGUAGUAUUUUAACUAAAAAACAUUGUGUCUGCCUGUGUGCUUGUUAAAUAUGCAUUUCAUAUGAGCAAGGCAGCAGGGAACCCUUUACAUUCUAUAUUUUCUAGUGGGUUGCCUAUGCUUAUCAGUUUUGUGUUCUUUCAGUUAGUGGUUCAGCUAGUGCUAGUUUACGUUGUUAGGAAGAGAGAGUUGUUGAAAUUCUCAGUGACAUNNNNNNNNNNNNNNNNNNNNNNNNNNNNNNNNNNNNNNNNNNNNNNNNNNNNNNNNNNNNNNNNNNNNNNNNNNNNNNNNNNNNNNNNNNNNNNNNNNNNNNNNNNNNNNNNNNNNNNNNNNNNNNNNNNNNNNNNNNNNNNNNNNNNNNNNNNNNNNNNNNNNNUACAGAGGAAUUAUAGCAGUUUUACAUGUAAGUUCACUGUAAAUCGCAUUGUAAUUCAACUGCAAGUAUACUGUAAAUCUCACUGUAAUUCAACUGUAAUUUGCUCUAUAAUACUACUGCUUUUUACUCUGUAAAUCUAAUGUAAAAUGUCACUAUAUUUAUGAUUUGAUUAGAUUGCAUAUUACACUACACUGUAAAUCUGUUGCAGUUACACUGUAAAACUCACAACAUUUCUACUCUAGUUGUAUUUCCACUAUAAAUUAGACUGUAAAUCUAUUGAAAUUACAUUGUAAAUCACACGAUUAAUCUACUGGUUACACUGCAAUUCUACUGUAUUUGUUACAUUGUAAUUUCAUUGUAAAUUACACUGUAAAUCUACUAUAAAUUACACUGUAAAUCUUCUGAAAUUAUAGUGUAAAUCACACUUUUUAAGUUACUACAAUUAUGCCAUACUUCUACUGUAUUUGAAACACUGUAAUUCUAUUUGUAAAUUACACUGUAAUUCUAUUGUAAAUUACAUUGUAAUUGUACUGUGUUUAUACUGUAUUUAACACUGCAAUUCUAUUGUAAAAUACAGUGUAAUUCAAACUGUAAAUCAGUCUUCUACUCUAAUUCAACUCUGAAUGUAUUGUUUCAGAGUGACUUAACUGUGUGAGUUCAGUUCAUCAUGUGUGAUGGUUAGGUUUUUAUCUUAAAAGUUUACUGUAGUUGUUCCCCUUUUUUCUGUAAUUGUUACUGGAAUAACAUGAUUUACUGUUUCCAUUUACUUUGCUUAUAGUCCAACUAUGUGAUAGUUUCCUGUAGCGAGGUCUUAUAUUUCUGCUGCAUUUAUCAGUAUAAUUUCUACUUUUCUAUGCCAUUCCUGUUUGAAAGUUCUAAUGUAUAUAUGAUUUACAAUUCUCUAGUAGUUUUAUUUUCCCUGUAAUCUUAGUAUAAUCUGUUUCCUGAUGUACACUUGUCUUGGUUCCUUUCUUUCAAUUUGGAGAAGUAUUUCAUGUUUUCUCUUUCUAUCUUCAUAAAUCAGGGUAGUUGUUUGUCACUGUAGUUUUUUACAUGAGUUACAAGGUCUGGUAGGCUCAUGUACAUGGCCAGAUAUGGUAUGCAGUACUCAUUUUUUUCUCUAAAGUUCAAUGCAAUUUUGAUCUACAUGUGUUUCUGGUGUAUACUAGCUGUUAGAAGUGCUUCUAUUAUAUUCGGCUGCAGUCUCUAACUAUUGUAUGUUCUCCUUUUCUUUUGUAAAUUGUAAAAGAAGUUAAAGGAUUCAUAAGCAUCAUGUUGAUAUGAGGGAAUGCUGCAGUUGGACUGAUGUACUUGACAGAAGCAUCCGGAAGAUAGGUGAUUUAGGGAGGGCACCUGACAUGUGAUUAUUCCAUAGUGUAAACUAAUUAGACUGGUCGUUUCAGCUGUAUUUUUUA